CAAAUUGGAAAGGAUAUGGAUACCAGAGGUAAAGCAAAGAUAUCGGAAAUGAUAAAAGGAACCAUUUGUAUUCUUGAAGAUUUAUGAUAUGUCGGUUUGUAUGCUAAAUGAUCGGUAAAUGUCUGAACAUAAUAAAAAAAAUUCGAUAUUACUAUGUUGAUAAUUUUAUGAUAAAUAUCGUUCAUUAGAUGAUUUCUAUUUCCUUUUCUUUCUAUUCUCUCUCUCUCUCUCUCUCUCUCUCUCUCUCUCUCUCUCUCUCUCUCUUUCUUUCUCUCUCUUUCUCUUUCUCUCUCUUUCUCUCUCUCACUUUUUCUCUCUUACUCUAAAAGAAAGAGACCACCUUCGCGUCGAUAUGUUAACAGAGAAAAUUCGACAAAGAUGUCGUCUAGAUCUUAAAAAAUGAAACCAAUGAUUAAAAUAAAAUUUUGGAUCUACGUUGAUUACGUACAAUACCCAUCCGUAGUACUCACGAGUAAAGAAAUGCGAAAGAAGAUUGUACGUAGUCGCAGAGAAGAAAUUUGUUCGCUCGUACGGUCGACGAAACUACGCGACGAUUCUUGGGAACGUAGGGAGAAAACAGCCUCGUCGGCUGUGAGGGAAAUUCUCCUCGGGCCUGGAAAAUGCGCAGAUGCGAAGGAAGAAAGGGGGGUCAAGAAACACCAUGUUAGGGCGCAUGCGUUAUCGACGAACUUCCGGAAAUGGGAUGCAAUUUGAACGUCUCUGACUACAAGGAAAAGGGCUCGAAGGUUCAUGAACGACAAAAUAAGAGAAAGAGAGAAAGAGAAAGAAAGAGUGAGGCAGUGUGUGUGUGUGUGUGAGAGAGAGAGAGAGAGAGAGAGAGAGAGAGAGAGAGCUUCUUUGACUUAUUAUUUUUUUUAUUUUAUUUUUUAUUGUAAUUUAACAUUACAAAACUAUAAUUUCUGUACAAUAAAAAAAAGAAGGUUUUAACGAUUAUAUUUUUCCCAAUAGUUUUUUUUCCGAUUUAAACUACAAGAGAUCAUUAAAUGAUAAGAUAAAACGUAAUUUUAUAAUCUUCUCAUCGAUAAAAAAAUAUAUCUAUGGUAUAUUAUAAUAAAAUAGAUGUAUUAUAGAUGAUAUUUAAAGAUAGUAGGAUGAGUUUCAUGACACACAGGUACGUAAUCGAUAUCGGUCGAAUAUCUCUUAUCGUAUAUAAAAUCUUUUAUAAAGUGAAAAUUGUAGGAACUAUUGAAUGAUUUUUAUUCCUUGGAAGACUCAAUUAAGCGUAGAAUUAAUUAAAAAAAAAAUAACAUUGUUUUCAUCAAAGUGACGAUUUAUUUUCAUUGCAUCGUGGGCAUUGCUGUUGACGAAGCGAUGUUGCUCGCAUCUCCUGAUCGCCAUAAUUGCGUUAUCGUCUUCGUUUGUGUGUAGAAAUUGAAAGCCUAAAAACAUAAUCGUCGUUUAUUUCAUUGAAAUCAUAAAGAGUGCAUGACAUACGUUAUAAAUCAAAAUUAUUAUCUUACGUAUUUUCCGUAGAAAUGAUUGUCCCCGAGAAAAGAUCCUUUAUUACCGGUGAAACUAAACAUGGGCAAUGGAACAGGAAUAGGAACGUUCACGCCAACUUGACCAGCUUCAAUUCUAUCAACGAACUUUCUUGCGGUUGCACCAUUAUUAGUAAAUACGGCAGUACCAUUGCCAUAAGGAUUUUUAUUGAUAAUAUCGAUGGCUUCGUCCAAAGUAUCGGCGAACAUGCAGGAAAGAACUGGUCCAAAGAUCUCUUCCGUAUAACAUUUCAUAGAUGACUGUGAACAAGAGAUAAAUGAAAUGAUACAAUAAUGAAAUGAGAGAAAACUUUAUUUUUUAUUAUAUAUGAGAAUCAAUUUAAAUGUUAACAGCUAAAUAAUAUAACCACGAAAUGUAUAUAAUAAGCAUACGUUAUGAUUUAACGAACGUAUUAAUAGAUAAAAUGAAAAUGAUAAGGAUCAAGAUAUACCUUGACAUCGGUUAAAAUAGUUGGCCCAAUAAAAUUUCCACGUUCAUAUCCUGGAACAACGAUUCCUCUUCCAUCGAGAGGAAGACCAACACCUUCUUUCACACCGGAUUCGAUUAAAUUACAUAUCCUUUGUUUCGAUUGCGGCGAUAUAACCGGUCCAAGGUCUGUACCGGGUACGUGUCCGGCAUUGACCUUUAAUCUCUUGGCAGCCUCAACCAACUCCCCUAUCCAUUCUUUCGAUUUACCAACGAAAAUUGCCACGGACAAAGCCAUACACCUUUGACCGGCUGCACCGAACGCCGCGCCAGUUAUUUGCGAAAUUGUUUUAUUUUUAUUCGCAUCCGGUAGCACCACACAAUGAUUUUUUGCUCCCAUAUUACAUUGCACACGUUUACCAUGCGCACUACUCUGUUUGUAUAUGUAUUUACCCUAAAAUAUGAAUCGUUAAUAAAGUGAUCAUGUGCUAAACGA